CGCUCCGGAGGCGCCGGUGGCGCCGGUGCGGCCGGAGGUCGCGCCGCCCGCCAGGGCACCGGCUCCGGGGCCGGUUCCGGUCCGGCCGGCCGC
rnacentral:tRNA from 1 species